rnacentral:tRNA from 1 species
GGGUAUAGCUCAAGUGGUAGAGCACGUGCUUAGCAUGCAUGAGGUCAUGGGUUCGAUCCCUGGUACCACCU